rnacentral:rRNA from 1 species
CGAAGGACCCGAGCGUUAUCCGGAUUUAUUGGGUUUAAAGGGUGCGUAGGCGGAUUAUUAAGUCAGUGGUGAAAGCCUACAGCUUAACUGUAGAACUGCCAUUGAUACUGAUGAUCUUGAGUAUGAUUGAGGUGGGCGGAAUGUGUCAUGUAGCGGUGAAAUGCUUAGAUAUGACACAGAACACCGAUUGCGAAGGCAGCUCACUAAGCCAUAACUGACGCUGAUGCACGAAAGCGUGGGGAGCAAACAGGAUUAGAUACCCUGGUAGUCCACGCCCUAAACGAUGAUCACUCGAUGUGUGCGAUACACUGUACGCGUCUGAGCGAAAGCAUUAAGUGAUCCACCUGGGGAGUACGACCGCAAGGUUG